rnacentral:rRNA from 1 species
GACGAACCACCCAAACGUUAUUCGGAAUUACUGGGCUUAAAGGGUGCGUAGGCGGUGCGGAAAGUUGGGUGUGAAAUACCUCAGCUUAACUGAGGAAUGGCGCUCAAAACUACCGUGCUCGAGGGAGAUAGAGGUGAGCGGAACUUAGGGUGGAGCGGUGAAAUGCGUUGAUAUCCUAAGGAACACCGGUGGCGAAAGCGGCUCACUGGAUCUCUUCUGACGCUGAGGCACGAAAGCUAGGGGAGCAAACGGG